rnacentral:antisense_RNA from 1 species
GCUCCUCCCUCCGCGUUGGAGGCGGAAUAGUGGGUUUUGCUGCAACCGGUUUUCUUUCUGUUUUCACCCAUUCUGGCACAAUCCGGCGCCAUCGUCCUUCUUGUGAGGCCAAGCCUGAAAAUGCGAAGCAGAGAGGCAGAACCAAAAUUGAGGCGAAUCCGGGAACCUGCCAAUGGGUCUCCGGGUGCGGUCUCUGAAACUGGAGGAUAUCAGGAGGAAAGGCUCUCCGAUGCGGAGAGAAUGGGGAAGCUCUUGGCAUGGUUGGCUGUAGGUGUGUGAUACCGGAGGAGCAGGAGUCAAAUAGGAUACGCCGACUUUUAAUUCAAGGAACCCUUUUCUGAAACACUUUGCCACAAUGAAGGAAAUAAGAUUACAGCCGAAAAGAUACAUAUUAAGGUAUUACUUAUUCACACCAGUUUUCCAUUAUAAUAUGCUUAUAUCUUCUCUGAAUGGAAUUAAUAGCUUUUGGUUAUGGUUCCUUAAAAGUCACAUGGCCUAAGGAUAGAUAGUCAAGGAACUUUGGAAAAAUUCGUCCCUGGGGGAUGUGCAGGGCAAAUACUUUUU